rnacentral:lncRNA from 1 species
GCAAAAUGUAACUUUCUUUAUAAUCUGUGACAAAGCAAUUUUGUAAACAGCGCUAUAAAAAUAAAUAAAUAAAUCUUGUCUGAUUGGUUGAUGCUAUGUUAUUGUGUACGACUUUCUCGCACUUUGGAAAGUCGUGUGUGCCUGCCUGGGUUCCCUGUUUCUCCCUGCCAGAUGCCAGCAGCCUCAGACUAGUCGCUGUCGGAGGCUCUGGCCCCAGGAAGUAACGUUAAACAGUGGCCGGCGGCGCUAACCCGAGUUUACAGGUUAUAGAGUCCCCUCUCACUAACGUGUGUUGUUUAGUCCUGUCGGCGGGGGUGGGUGAGGCUCGUGGGCCAACAGGACUAACAGCGGGGCUGGCAAGGGUUGAAAGUUGAAACCCGCUUCACAACCGAGGUGUUGGCUCCACAAGCAGCUCCAGCAACUACUCCUAGUCCCUCGCCUGUAGUGGACACCUGUGCCCCCCCCUCUGUGGACAGUCAGCCUGGACUGGGACCAGAGGAAGAAUUCAUUCUUCACCUUGAACCGGUCGAUUCACCAUCUUCUGAAGCUCCACUAUUCUCUACUCAACCUUCCUCCUCUACACAGCUUCCUCCCUCAUCUCCCACCUCCUCCCAGCUUCCUCCCCCAACCUCCAUCUCCUCUCAGCCUCCUCCCCCAUCUCCCACCUCCUCCCUGCUUCCUCCCCCAUCCCCCAUCUCCUCUCAGCCUCCUCCCCCAUCUCCCACCUCCUCCCUGCUUCCUCCUUCAUCCUCUCUCUCCUCUCAGCUUCCCCCCCAUCCUCCCUCUCCUCCCUGCUUCCUCCCCCAUCUCCCACCUCCUCCCUGCUUCCUCCUUCAUCCUCUCUCUCCUCUCAGCUUCCCCCCCCAUCCUCCCUCUCCUCCCUGCCUCCCCCCCAUCCUCCCUCUCCUCCCUGCUUCCUCCUUCAUCCUCUCUCUCCUACACAAAUCGUGAACUGUACCAUGGACUAUGAAGCUAAAUGUUCUCUGUGAAGGGGUCUGAUUUCGGUUGGAAGGCACAUAUGUGCACAAAAUGCUGAGUCACAAGUCUUGAGUUAGCUUUGAGAGCUGUAAGGGGCAAAGUGAAGAAACAAAUUAUAAAAGGAAUGACGUAGAAAACUAUUGUACAACACAAUACCAUAUUUUUUUGUGUAUGCUUUGUGUAAGAUGACUUGUGCACUAUUAACAGUGACAGAAUCUGGGAGGACACCUGGGAGCCGGCCAAGUUUAACUCCUAACACCACCUACUACUACUUUUUUUUCUAUUGUUUGUUUUGUAUGUAUGUAUAUUUGUGCACAAUUUGAUUAAAUUUUGGAUGAAUAAUGAAGCAUUAUGUUGAUUAUUCCUUGAAAAAUCUUUGUUUGCCCCCUUUGUUCUGUAACCUGUUUGGCUGUAUCCUUUACAUCUUUUGUGCUGUAUUUGAUGGCAAAAGUGAGCUAGCAGAAAGUCUCAUGCAGUGACAGAACAAGUAACAAAUUU